UUUUUUUUUUAAUUUCACAAAAUGAUUCUGAGGUUCAACUGGAAUAAUCAAUAGAUAAGGAAAGCAAAGAAUCACACAGGAACCAUUAUGCUCCCAGGCACUAAAGAAUUUACGUAAAGCAGUAAGAACUGAAAGCAGUGUAACCCUACAUACAAGGAUUAGAGGACAAAGCAGCGUAACAGGAUGGCCCAGAAGCAUACCCUACUCACUGUGUCCCUGCGAACCUCAAUUCCAAAUGGACUGACAAAAAAUAAAAGAACAAAAUCAUGUAAUGAUUUACAAAAUAUCAUUAAGGGUUUCUGUUCUGACAUGCAAAGAACUUAGAAGCCACAACUACCAUCCCCACAACAAGAAAAAAAGCUGAACAAACUGAAAAUGAACAAUUCUUAUUAGACCUACUAGAGAACUGAGGGCCAAGGCAUACUGCUGCCCUGAAAACUGAAGAGAAACAGGUAAAUACAGAGAAUCAUAGCUGGUAGGAAGCAGAAUCCCACAGUUUGGGGCCAGCACCCCCAGGAACACUGAGGCCAUAACUGACCAACUGCUGAAAGCUGAGUGUGAACCAGAUGGAGAGCUAGAAGCUCGGGGCAAGGACAGUCCUGGGGAGGGAACCUUCCCAAGUUUUACCUCCAGGCUCCCACAGGUUCCCUAGGAAGAUCAGAGAAAAAUCCCCUCACACUCUUAGCAGAGGGAGAGUAACUAUUUUAAAAUAGUCCAACAGGCUCUCUGUUCUCCGUAACAAAGCCCUCCCCUCAAAGGAAAAUUUUACCAAAGACUAACCAAUCCGGAGAAAAGAAAAUACCUAAUUUCCUCUGCAGCCUUCCUGACUCAUCCAAACCCUGAGGUGAGGAUGACAAGGGAGCUGAGAGACACGCAGGAAAUUCAAGGAAAGGUUAAGCCUGAGACCCGAUCACCUGAUUACAGGAUGUUCCGCUCCCCCCACAACCCCUGGCCUGCCACCACUAACGCUCCUACAGAACAAGGGGCGCAGCUGGAGGAACCACCAGCUUCAGGAACUAGAAGAGAGCCCAAGGGCAACAAGAGCACUGGCGGAAAUUUCAACCUCUGGCAUCACAGUGUCAGCAAACAGUAAACAAAGCCUAACGCCUAGCCUGCUAACGUAAGUAAAACCUCACCCUAAAGGCCUAGUCCGUUCCUUUUACUCAAUACAUUGUGUCUGGCUCCCAACAACAACAACAACAACAAAUUAUAAAGCCUGCUAAAAUGCAAACAAAACAAAACAGUCUGAGGACACAAAAUAAGCAUCAGAACCAGACUCAGCUCUGGUUCAGACGAGAGACUUUUAGCAUUACACACUGAGAAUUUAAUAACUGAUUAACUGAUGCUAACAACUUUAAUGGGAAGGAAGAGUGGACACCACGCAAAAACAGGUAGAUAUAUACUGUAAGCAAUGUAAGCACAGACAUGAAAACCCUAAGAAAAAGCCAAAAGGAAAUGACAAAAAUCAAUACACUAUAAAAGAAAUGAAGAAUGCCUUUGAUGGGCUCAUCGAUAAGACUGCACACAGCUGAGAAAAGAAUCAGUGUGCUUAAAGAUAUGUCAACAGAACUCUCCCAAGUGAAAAGCAAAGAGGAAAAAAGAAUCGGAAACACAGAACGGAAUGUCCAAGAACUGUGGGGCAAUUACAAAAGGUCUAACUAUGCAUGACGGGAAUAUCAGAAGGAAGAGAAAGGGACAGAAGAGGCGCUGAACUAACAAUGGCGACGUCUCCAAAGCAAAUGACAGACACUAAAUCACAGAUCCAUGAAGCUCAGAGACCAUCAGUCAAACAAUCAAUCAAUCUGCAUUGAGGGGUAUCAUAUUCAAACUGCACAAAAUCAGAUACAGAGAAAAUCUUGCAAGAAGCCAGAGGAAAAAACACCCAAGAGGAGCCACAUUGAACAUUACACCAGAAUCCUCCUCAAAACGUACAUCUUCUCUGAAGAAGAGACUGAAAGGAAAUACCUACUGCUGGAAAAACAAACAAAACCCAUCAGCCUCGACUUCUGCAUCCAGGAAGACAACCCUUCAAAGAUAAAGGACAUACCAAGUUCUCUCAGAGGAACAUAAAUUGAGAGAAUGUGUCACCAGCAGACCCGCCCUGCAAAAACGUUACAAGUUCUUCAGAGACAGAAAAUGAUUUAUGUCAGAAACUAGAUUUACAUAAAAAAGGAAGAGCCUUACAGAAAGAAAGCAUGAAAGCAAAAUACCACUAAACACGUACAUAUUUGGAGAUGUAUAUAUAUCAUCUUUAAGAUACAUAACCAAAGGCAAAAGCCCCAAAGGAUAAGUAAUUUUGACUAUACCAAAAUCAAAAACUAUUCUAUACAUAAAAACACCAUGGGAGUUCCCAUCGUGGCGCAGUGGUUAACGAAUCCGACUAGGAACCAUGAGGUUGCGGGUUCGGUCCCUGCCCUUGCUCAGUGGGUUAAGGAUCCGGCGUUGCCGUGAGCUGUGGUGUAGGUUGCAGACUCGGCUCGGAUCCCGCGUUGCUGUGGCUCUGGCGUAGGCCGGUGGCUACAGCUCCGAUUCGACCCCUAGCCUGGGAACCUCCAUAUGCCGCAGGAGCGGCCCAAGAAAUAGCAGAAAGACAAAAAAAAAAAAAAACACCAUGAACCAAACUGAAUACCUAACUACUAUCUAGGGAAAAUUAUGAAAAUAUCCCUAACAAUUUUUUUUUUUUUUUUUGGCUUUUUAGGGCCGCGCCCACAGCUUAUGGAGGUUCCCAGGCUAGGGGUCAAAUCAGAGCUGUAGCUGCCAGCCUACACCACAGCCACAGCAACGUGAGAUCCAAGCCGAAUCUGCAGCCUACAACACAGCUCGUGGUAACACCGGAUCCUUAACCCACUGAACAAGGCCAGGGAUUGAACCCACAACCUCAUGGUUCCUAGUCGGAUUUGUUUCCGCUGCGCCACGAUGGGAACUCCCAACACAUUUUUUUAACAAAGCAUCCAGUUUGGAAAAGGGGGCAGUAAAGGCUCCAUUGCUUUGGAUGUAAAAUAAAUGGGUAUAUGACAUCAACGGGGUGAGAUUUUGUGUCCUACACUGGGGACAACCAAAGGAACGGUUUAAAUAAAAGGCAACAGCUCUUCUCAAAACUAUCUUUAAGUCUGGCAAUUUCAUAUUACCCUUUAAUGUUAAUCUAACAGGACUUAUUUUAAAUUGUAUAUAAAAACUGUGGCUUAGAAAUGUCAACUCAAUCCGUAUUUUUCUUAUCAGAGCUACAUUAAUCAGUCAUAAACCACUUUAUCAGAUCUUCUUAAAUUAAAAACCAUCGAGGAUUACUUACACGCCAUAAAUUUUUUUGUAAAUAACAACGUCGUCUUAAAUUCUGUCAAAAUAUGAUUAAUAAUCAAUAUAUAAAGUUCCACAUUGAUGGAUCUCACAUUGAAAAGGCCCUUAAAUCACAACCAGAGCUUCGGGGACACUUGCGAGGGCACGCUCACAAGUCACUUACGUGACAAGAGCCGAACCAAAAUUCUCAGGCUUAGAUGGCUGAUCUUCCUAAACUAUCCUUGUGACUACCAAAUUAAUAAGACUUUCCCACUCUUCUUUAUUCUGCAACCAAAAUGCAAGGAGGGACUAAGCCUUCCCUGGCUUUUUUAAGUACCAAAACUAUAAAAAUUGUUUUGGCACUUUAAUACCUCAAUACCCAAAAGAAGAAGGGCUACAAAACCCAAGACAGCAGUUAACACACAAACACUUUUCCUACCUCAUUCUGCCUUCUUCCCUUGUUCUGCAUUCCAUUUAUAUCUGUAAAUCUCCUCAAUAAUUUUUCAGGACAAGAUAAGUGAAUGAAAAAUAUGAAGAAAAUGUGUAAUUCAAAUUUAGAAAGUCAACUGCAAACAUUCAACUAUAUUCAACACCAUUUAAGUCAAAAAUCUCAAAACCUACUAUACCACCCAUCACAUACAACUCCACUAUGGGAGUUGUAAAAUAACCUACUACUUUCACCUAGUAAUUUUUCAAAGUAACUCUCAUUUCAAAGAACCUUAUUUUUAAAGGCAGUAACUUCACAUGAGGACAGGGGAAGGUGAGGUGAAAUGCAAAGAUUCAUGGAGCUCUUCUGUUCCUUGAUUUCAGUUCUGGAUUGGUACACUUACUAAGAAAUAAAUUUUUUUUAAGAAAUAAAUUUUUUAAAAAUCUUUAAAGUACAGCUAAAAGGCAAAUAAACAGAGCUCCCAACAAAUUCAGCAUCUUGCUCAAAAUGUUUUCACUGCUAAUUAGGAAAAUCCAAAGUUAUUCAUAAACAUGGAAGUUGUUAUAAUGUGCAGAUCAAAACACUGCUUAUUCAUGAAACCAUGUACAGCAAUUACAUUCUCGACCUUCCUUAAGGCUGACCAGUACCUAGGGCCACACUCUAACGCCAGAAAAAAAGCAGCAGCAGCAAUAACAGAUGCUGAAAGGGGUGAUCACAGCACAGUUUCUCUCUCACACUCUCUGUCACGGGCCUACCAAAUUUUCCAACAGUGGAAUGGCAAAUAAUAGUUGGCCUGAGAUUAAAAAAAGUCUUUGAAGUUGCAUAAGAGCCAAGAAUUCUGCUCUUUGGGAUUCUCAUGAUCCCAGCAGUAAAUCUCAAAGUACAGCCUAUUCUGUUCUAUAUCUGAGUGAAAAAAUAAGAAAAAAAUUGAAAUUCCUAAAUUAAAAUUAAGGCUAUGAAGCACAUGUUUUUCCCUCCAUCUGCGACUGUGACAAUGCAUCACUGUGGGAAAAUGGACAGUAAAGGAAGCACCACGUGAAACCUUUUCCGUGGUGGAGAAACAGCCUUUUUCCUUCACUAACUUAGUCAUCAUUACUGCUUUUUUAAAAGCACUUCGAAGCUCAAGAGUUAUUUUAUACAUAAAUGCACACAUGCACACGCACACACAGAAAUGCCCCAGUCACAAUCCGAAUUUAAUCUGCAUCUCAUGAAAAUGUACUCUUAAGUGGCCAAUUUGACAAGGGUUAGAAGGAAAGAGGGAAGAAAGUUUGGUCACAUUAAAAGGUCAGGGCUUUUCUAUAACUUCUAUUAAAGUAAUUAGAUUUCUAUCUUUAAGAGCAAAUACUGUGAAUGGACAGUGAUUUUUAACUUUUCCUAAGAGAGGGAAGAAAUGAACAGCGACUCUGCAGCCGAACGUGAAACUCCUGUAACAUCAUCAUUCAUGGCAUUUACCUGAACGCCUAUCAGACAAGCAGGAGGAAAUGCAGCCUGUCAACCACAUCAAGCCGAAAGACAACAGCAAAGAGAAACUAGAUGUGGGGGUAUCACACCUCACAACAACUUAACAUUGGAGUUUUGUACUUUACAUUUCCACAUUCGCUGUAUCAUUUGAAGAUUAUACAAUCUUCCCGAUAACUCUUUGAGGACCGCAGAGUGAGCAACAUUUCUAUUAAAGUUAUACAUUUAUAGCACACUUAAAAGAGCCCAGUACACAAUGAGUAUUCACCAACUGCUGGUUACGACCGCCUGCUGCAGUGGAAGGUUUAGAGGUUUGCCACUGGCGGGAAAGGCAGAAACCCAUGUAAGAAACACGGGUCCAACAGCCACGUGGGGAAAAAAACGUGGGGAAGGAGUGUACACAAGCCAAGGAGGACCAAAGGGAAGGGAAGUCGGCAAGGAGACCAGACUACAGCGAGUCACACGAUUAAUCAGUCACAGAAGUUCCAACCUGGGACAAUCAGACAUUCCCAGGCGGGCUCAUCUCAGGUCAGAGACUCUCACCACUGAGCACGCCCGGGCUCAUCAGCACAAAGUCCGAGACACCCCGUCUCCCUCACUGAGAACCCUAUUUUGAGACACUAAAAUUUCAUCACAAGUUUUCUCUUUUUCCUUGUUUUAACCUUCAAAACAUGAGGGGAUGAUCAAGAAAUUUAUGCCCCAGAGGACACUAGUGAAUGGUUUUUAUUCUAUCCUACCUAACAAAACGAAGAUGUCUAUUAAAACAUAAGAUCACGUCAAGUCAGUCUUUCUAAUCAGCUUUUCCAUGAAGGAAACAACGGAGCAAAGUUGGUUUUCUGCCAAAAAUGUAGAGCACGGUGGGAACAUGCAACAUUUCAUUAGAGAGAGAGGUGGGUUUUAUUAAAAAGCAAUAAAACUAUGGUGAAAUAGAAAAUACUAGCAAUUGGAAACAGCUUCCUAACAUCCAAAUACAAAAUAAUCAUAUUUCAUGUGAUACCUCAGUCCUAUUUGAUCAAAAAUCUUAGUCUCAAAGCUGAAUGCUGAACUAAUUUCAGUUUGAUAUGGACAAAGCUUAAAUAACUAACAAAUGCAAGGUGAAGGAGGAGGAUUUUAUUGAUUUUAUUUAAAUCAAACAACUCAAUUUACUCAAAGCUCCAACAUUCCUCCAAAUAGUCAAAAGAUAUUUCUUAUCACUGAAUUCUUGAGAUACGGUCUUUUUAUAACACACUCUAGAAACGUAAAAAACUACAAACAGCCCUAGUUAAUUACCAAACACUGAAAGAACAGAACUAGGGUAGAAUUUACAACUCUCUUUAUUGAAGAACAAAUUAAAAAAAAAAAAAUUUUUGGCAGUAGGAUUUUAGUUAUAAUGUUAAUGUUAUGCAGCCAGUAUUUUUAAGACUUUAUUUUUUUAAAGUUACCAUUAACGAAAAUAAAAAUAUACUGUAACAAGGCAUUAUUUUGAAAGAACAAACAGAGAACUCAAAAGAGAAUUCAUAGUUUAAAGACAAGAAAGAACAUCCAGUUACCAACAUCUACUGACUUAUUUACCAGGGGGAAAAAAAAAUCAACUAGAUUGAUCAGCCCAUUUCCUAUACUGUUUUGCUUCAAAGCAUAAAGUGAAUAUACAGGAGUAUGCAAUCAAUGAACCAGUGACAUCUCUAAAUUACAUUCAUUAAUCAACUUAAACAUAAUUUGUAAUUAGAAAUAAACAUGCCAAGAGCUAGACUGCACCUGCAUAGCCACUUAGCCUCAUUCCAUAACCAUACUGAGCAAGAUUUUAAGGUAUUUUCCAACUCAGACAACACCUGAUGAGUCUCUAAAUUGAUUUCUGUGCGCUUAACUAUACAAAUCACUUAUUUUUAGCUAUGGCACAAACUGAGGAAUAAAUAAUGGAAACGUAUAAGGCGAUAUGUAAGAAGGUGAUAACAGGCAUUUCUUUCCCUCUAAGUCCAGUUUUAAAUUGCUACAUGACUACCAAAUCAAUUUGCAAUUUUUCAAACCACCACCUCCCCCAAGGAGAAUCCAACAAUUUCAACGAAAAGCAGUUAUCCUCACACCUUAUACUCCUCCACGUUCACGACAACCUAACUUCCUUCAGUAAGAAUUCUACCGUGCAAAGUUGAAGAGCUGCUAACGAUGAUAAUAACAUUCACAUUAGGGUAAAUGAGGUAAAUUUUCUGUUGAUACAACGUAAUAACUAUAACCACUACUGGUCCCAUCAACCCUUAUGAUUUCCUUCUCACUACUUCACUUGGAAGAGGGUGUUACAGAAGGAAUACAGGAAAGAAGCCUCUGAGGGGGACCAGCCACCCACCCAACAAGGACGUGACCAAUUAGCUCAAGAACCACCUGACAAGAAAAGCAUCAACCUCUUGUAGAGCCGGAAGACUUCACUGCACAGUCUGAAAGAGCCUCACUGGGCUCAGCUGUAGCCAAAGGGAUGCACUAAGAACUGGUUUCUUGAAAAAAUGGUAACACACAAAAGAAUUAACUGAAAUCCACUUGAAACUUGAAGGGAAAGGAGAGGUGGCCAUUGUAGAUAAGACCUGCCUCUAAUUUGGCAUAAACAAGUAAGACCCUGUAUGCAAGGCCAUCCUAGAAGUUAUGAAGAAUAAAAUAUUCUUUCACCCCGUGUUUAUAAAAUGUUUCCCCUAAGUCAACCUAGGGACACACAAAGAUAAGUAGGCCACACCUGGCUCCCAUUUCCAGCCAAGAUGCAGUAACAGGGGAUUUGUCCUCCCACCUGAAACAAGUGAGGGGAAAAAAAAAAAAAAAAACAGAUAAAAUAUAUAACAACAGUUUUCAGACAUUGGACAUUAGACAGGAAAUUCAGUUCAGGGAUGGUGAUCCCUCAGAGAGCAAAAGAAAAUGAGGAGAGUCACAUGAUUGUCUGAAGAGAGUUUCCAGGCUACAGCACAGAGAGGAGGAACUCAGAGCACAACAGCCUCCCUGACUUAAGGAGCCAGAGCUGGGAGUUUAGGAAGGCCAAGGAAGCUGGAGUUUGCUGAGCAGCAUUAGAAGUUCUGCAAAAAAAAAAAAAA
rnacentral:lncRNA from 1 species